rnacentral:rRNA from 1 species
UACGUAGGGUGCAAGCGUUGUCCGGAAUUAUUGGGCGUAAAGAGCUCGUAGGCGGUUUGUCGCGUCUGCUGUGAAAACUCGGGGCUUAACCCCGGGCCUGCAGUGGGUACGGGCAAACUAGAGUACGGUAGGGGAGACUGGAAUUCCUGGUGUAGCGGUGAAAUGCGCAGAUAUCAGGAGGAACACCGGUGGCGAAGGCGGGUCUCUGGGCCGAUACUGACGCUGAGGAGCGAAAGCGUGGGGAGCGAACAGG